AGUGAACGCUGGCGGUAGGCCUAACACAUGCAAGUCGAACGGCAGCACAGUAAGAGCUUGCUCUUACGGGUGGCGAGUGGCGGACGGGUGAGGAAUACAUCGGAAUCUACUUUUUCGUGGGGGAUAACGUAGGGAAACUUACGCUAAUACCGCAUACGACCUACGGGUGAAAGCAGGGGAUCUUCGGACCUUGCGCGAUUGAAUGAGCCGAUGUCGGAUUAGCUAGUUGGCGGGGUAAAGGCCCACCAAGGCGACGAUCCGUAGCUGGUCUGAGAGGAUGAUCAGCCACACUGGAACUGGGACACGGUCCAGACUCCUACGGGAGGCAGCAGUGGGGAAUAUUGGACAAUGGGCGCAAGCCUGAUCCGGCCAUACCGCGUGGGUGAAGAAGGCCUUCGGGUUGUAAAGCCCCUUUGUUGGGAAAGAAAAGCAGCAGGUUAAUACCCCGCUGUUCUGACGGUACCCAAAGAAUAAGCACCGGCUAACUUCGUG
rnacentral:rRNA from 1 species